rnacentral:rRNA from 1 species
UACGUAGGGGGCAAGCGUUGUCCGGAAUUAUUGGGCGUAAAGAGCUCGUAGGCGGUGUGUCGCGUCGGCCGUGAAAACCUGGGGCUUAACUCUGGGCGUGCGGUCGAUACGGGCAUCACUGGAGUUCGGCAGGGGAGACUGGAAUUCCUGGUGUAGCGGUGAAAUGCGCAGAUAUCAGGAGGAACACCGGUGGCGAAGGCGGUUCUCUGGGCAUGUCCUGACGCUGAGGAGCGAAAGUGUGGGGAGCGAACAGG